GACGUAGGUCCACCGUGAAGGAUAGUCUUGCGUUUGUGUUUCUACACCGAAGGAUAAAACUCUUACAACGGGCUUUAGCUUAAGGAAAUGAACUUUUAAAAUGUGAAACAUAAAUACAUGAAAAUGAUUUUGAUCAAAUUCUAGAUGCCAGAGACCGCAAGCUCACUACCAGCACCUGACUCUGUAUCUCUGUGUGUGUGUGUGUGUGGAGGGUGUAAUGGUUUUUUUCUUAUUGUAAGCUGACAGUGUUUUAUUUUGGAUCAAAGAGGGGGCGACGACGCACACAGGGGCAUGGAAAGAAAGAGCGAGGGUGCAGGGAGUUCUUCCGGUCCAAGGAAACGCAGGUGAAGCAGUACAGGACAUCUUUGACACACUCGCUGACACUAGGGAGGCAACGGACUACAAACGUGCGAAAGAGAAACUGAGUGAGUACUUAUUACCUGAAAUUAACAUAGCCUAUGAGACGUUCAAGUUCAUACGAGCCCGGCAGCUGGCAGAAUAACCACUGGACUCCUAUCAUACAAGACUGUGGCUAUUAGCAGCGACGUGUGACUCUCCUGAUGUUGAUAGAGAGAUCAUUUCUGACUUGUACGUGUAAUAAACUGCGGCGUCGAGCACUACAAAAACCGGAGAUGACAUUAACGGAGCUCAUUGCACUUGGCAGAACUAUGGCAAUUGCCGAGAUGCAGGCGUCAGGAAUGGAAGAAGCACGACAAAGUAUAACUCAUGAACAUAUAAGGGAAAACGUUCUGGCCGUACAGAUGGGAGGGGGGGGAUGAGCUGUGGAAAAAAAAUGCUACAAUUGUUCUGGUAGUUUUCCUCACCGUGAAGUCACCUGUUUGUAGAUACCCAGUCAGGACAAGCAGAAGACCCCCAUCAUAUCUCACUAGUGUAAAUAUACUGCAGAGUAUUACGCAAAAGAAAGUUUGAGUUGGACUGGUUAAGGGCUGUUCUUCUGAAAAAAAAGAAAGGAGGGUUGUAAUGUUUGUUUCUUAUUUUUGUAAGUUGACUGUUUUAUUUUGGAUCCACAUUUUAUUUUGGGGGCGCUUCCACAGUCCAAGGAAACGCACAUGCUGACACCCUAGGAGAUGCACAGGGCUCACUGUACAGUGUUACUCAAUGAACAGGCAAUGAGAAUGAAUGGAUGGCCUAAAAUCCACAUGGCUUAUGCUAUUAUACCGCAGUGACCCUGCUGAGACAGUUGGCUCAGCUCCUGUCACUGUACGUGUUGGAGGGUUUCCUGCCUCUCCCUGGAAUGUCUGGGGGGGCCGGAUGCUGGGUGUUCUUACAGUUGGCGUGGGAGUAGGGGCUGUGGGGGCGCUUUAACUGUGACCCUUAACAAGAAGCUUCGCUAAUGUUCACUUCUCUUUUCACAGUCCUUUCAUUUAUGCUUCCGGGAGUCUCGUGUCCCAUUGCCACGCUGCGACUAACCCGUCCUUCCCAUUGUGAUUUGCUUUUUCUGUUCUGGAUGAUCUCCGUAAAACACCAGUCACCUUAGAAAACUUAAAUGGCCUAAAUGGAGUCAGAGCCUCACUUCCUCUCCAUUGUGCUGAUGUUCGAAACGUCGGAUCAACGACGCUAAGUUUGGCAAGACACCAUGCCAGCGGAGUCAUUGAAUACUCCUGCAGCACGUGAACUGGACUGAUACGGCAUGGCACUGCAUGGCACUGCAUGGCACGGUGAUCCCCCACUUACACGUGAGCCUCUUCAUCUGUGACUCUGACUAUAAAUAUCCAUUCAUUUGCGCGCCCAGGGAGCAGCAUAGCAAGUGGCUUCCUAUCAGGAGCCUCCACCCAUGGGCACGGCGCUCUACAGCUGUGCAGCUCAGCACAGAAGUCGCACUCGCUCUCACGGUUGUUGCCAAAGACACUUGUGGGCAAACAUUAAAGUGCCACACGGUUCAGCCACUGGCUUGUUUGGUUUGCCAAACAGCUUGUUUCUUUGUCCUACCCAUCUUACUUGUGGAUAUAUGUACCUGCCCUUGCCAUGUUCUUUUGUUGGCCAUCGUUGACGUGCUUGUGUUACCAGAAGGUGUAGUGUUUGUUUGUGGGUGUACAUUUGACCUGCAUUUUCGUUUGCAUACAUUACCUGAGUGUGACUCUCUCUCUGUUCUAAUUCUAGCCUUAGUUAGUCACCUGCCUUUGUUAGAACCCUCAUGGUCCCCUUUGCUUCUAUUAUCUACGAGUUUAGUUUGUAAUAAAAAUCUCCUGUUUUCAGUAAGUCCCAGUCAUUACAAUACAUAGUCUUCCCCAAGGAAGACUAUUUGUCAUGGAGGAAACCCCCACGACCAUUGCUCUCAAAAAAUAAAUGCCAGCUAAAAUGCAGAGUAUGGAAAUAGUUUCAAGGCAUAAACACCAUUAGAUAGAGAACACUCUUUAUUGUGACUUGCUUAUGAGAACAGUUAUUGAAAAUUAAAUUUUACUGUAUAAAUACUAUGUAAUAAAGUUAUUUUUCAACUUA